UGUGUUUUAUAGCAGGGAAUUUACUACCACAGGAAAUAGUGAGGCAGACAUAAUAUCAGCAAGUUCAAAGGGGUUAGAGUAGGUAGGGAAGGAUGUGUGCUCUACCAUUCCCAGGCAGUGACUGUGGAUGCUAGGAGUGUGAAGUGAAUGGACUGCAAAGAGUGGCUAGGCUUGCGUGCUCCCCUUAAGGAUUGUCUUUUCCUGCAACUGCUGAAGCACCAGUAGCUGGAGGAAAAGUGGACCCAGUGGGCCAUUUUCUAUAUUCCUGUGAUCUUGGUGUAGCUGACGGGAGUUGUCUAUGCAAUCGAAUUCACUCUUAGUCUUUUGUUCUCCCAACUGCUGCUGAAGAAGAGUUUUGCAUUGCUUUGCAAAGAAGUUCACUUUGCACAUUUGGCUGAUGGUGGCAUGCAUUUGUUCAAACUAUGGACAUGUGUUUCUGGUCGCUCUUGUCUGAUGGAAGAAUAAUUCCAUCUGCCUUUUCACAUGGGCAGUCUGUGAUGAAGUGCUCUGUUGCAGUGAGUGUUGUCUCCCUCUAAUGCAAACACUGUUACUAAUAUAUAAUCCAUGUAUUAGUCUACCAUUGGAGUCACUGUUGGGCAGCAAUUUUACAUCCUACAGUUACUUCUGAACUGCAGGAAAACUUGUUGACCUCCAUGCCAAACAAACUGACCUAGUGACAGAGUGCAUCUACUGCACAUUGCCUUAGGACUUUGCUGUCCCUGGAGAGUUUUUCUCUCCCUCUACGUCUACAUUUGUUCUUUUUUUUGGAGCAACAGAGCAGGCUGAAAGCAAGUCCUGUGGUCUUCUCUACUUCUGCUGAUUUGGACAGCAGAGGAGUUUUGGUGCAUGAUAGCUAGAUGCCUUUGGGAUGCCAACACAAAUGGUCCGCUCCAGAGACACAGAAAAUGUGCUUCUACCUGGACAGGUACAUGGGGGUCUGAACCAGUACUGACUCCCUAGAAUAGCUUCCUAUCAAAAAAUGUGAACAAGUUUGAUCCAAAUCACAUUGAGGACCAGACUAAAUCUAGGCUGAAGUAAACACUUGAACUGUGUAUCUUGUACUUGUGGGGACCUCAGUUUGGACCUGCUCCCUUUGUGCCAAAUGACUUGUUAAUGUAAACAGACAUAAACAGAACCUCUCUUUCAGUUAAUGGCCUUUGUUUCCAUGCUGUAUUCCUUUAAGAUCAAUAAAGUAUAUUAAUAUUAAUAACUUGAUUUCACUGAGAAAAGCUCUGAAAAUCUGGCUUUUGUUCUUUUAAAAGGAGUUGGAAGUCCUAGAAACUAAGAUUUUCAUGACAAUACUGAAGGAAAAUCUGUAUGAAUUGGACACUGACCUUAUGAGUAACGGCUUUGUAAGCAAAUUAAGUGUUUUCUCCCCCAAAAGUUCAAGUCUUUUGUGGUCAAGGUCAGGAAGCUGGAAAACUUGCAACCUGUUGGAAAAUGUGUUACCUGUGUCUCCUUGCAUUCUGUGAGCCUUGUGUCUUCAGAAAUGAGAUUUUCAUGAGGAGGAGAGGAAGCCUGAGGUCCAGGGAGGAGAAGAAUCUAAUCAAUCUUCAUCUCUGAAGUACUCAUGCAGUAAGUCAGUCCUCAAUGCUGCAUCAUGUUCUGUAUCCCCCAGUGCAGGGCAAAGGCUGGGAAAGGAGUGGGACAGGAAAUCCAUUGGGUUUGAUAAGAGAGCAGUCUGUAGAUUCUGUUGGAGCAGCUUGCAAAGGCUGUAGCACUAACCACAGGAGCAGUGCCUGACUGCGACGUGUGAGCAGCCAUCUCAUCUGGUGGCCAAUGAGGUCAAGGGUAGUGUUGGGUAUUGACCUUGAUAUCAUCACAGUGUCUGCUGUCACUCAAGCCACCUUCAUGCCUCCAGGCCACAGCAGACAGCAUGUUCAUCCUGGUGUUUCCUUUGCUGCUUUUUAAGUCUUCAUGAAACACAUAGUGGCUUAUCAUUAAAGCACAAGCACCAAAUGAAACUGAACUUCUGGCUUGUUUCUCCUGUCAAACGCCUCAUGUUAGUGCUUUCCUUGAUGUUCAGUCGCCUGGAAGGAAGAGAAACUAUACCCUUCACAUCUGCAACAUAUGAAUUUUUCACAGGUGCCUUCUGAGUGAUGUGGAACAACACACUGGGGCAACACACCCCUCUCUUCAACACUGUGCAGGACAUACUGAAGCAACCCUGUAUCUGCACAAUCCGCAGCUACCCCAAGAUAUUUUUCAGACAGCGAUAUUGGGACUGGGAGGAUUGGAUCUGACUCAACCCCCUUGAAGCCCAUCACUACUUAGGGUGAAGAUGUUCCUGCAGGGAGAGGAGGAAGCAUGCUCAGAAAUGUUUAUUAUUAUUGUUAAACUCCUUUUUUUUCCCCUCCCCUGCCAUGGAGAUAGUGAUCUCUGCUGUGGUCCCUGCUGCUUUCUUUUUCCUGUGUUAAUCUACAUUAAGACUUGCUGCACUUCAAAGAUGGUCUUAGCCCUAAGAGAGGCUUUUGUUGCUGACCUAUAGGAUUUUGAUUCAGAGUAUGUGUCUUCCCCUGGGCCUGUUGCAGAUGCCCACCGUCCCCCUAGGUAGGUAGUUUGGGAUCACUUAUAUGCUAAUGUGGGCACUCCAAACCUUCCUCCCUUCUCUCUUCUUUGCCAUUACAGUGGGAUAUUUUAACUUUAUUCCUCUGUCCUGUUGACUCUCAUCUGAAGUCAUCCAGGUGUGGGGUGUUCCUCAUAACUUCAGAGCACAGCACUUAUGUCUUUGGUCUAAGUAAACUUUGUGGAUCCAUUAUAAAAACAGGACAUACGAAAUGAAUUUCACAUUUGAAAAAAAAAAGGUUUUUCUUAUAUUUCUCCCCUUUAUGAACUUCUCAACACCAGUGUUAUGAUAUGAACAGGAAACACAGCAAAAGAAGUGAAAAUAAUAAAUCCCCAUCUCUACUGUA